GAGAGGGGGAGGAUGAGAUACCCAUUGAGCAGGACAAAACGGUAACAACUCGGCUAAUCCAACGGACUUUGAUUGGAACAACGGCAGAAACCAAGUGUCAUUGUGGGAAGGUUUGCAAGAACUUAAAAGGUUUGAAGAUACACCAGGCAAGAACUAAGUGUGGAUCUGGGAAGCAGCAAAAGGAACGCACAGUUAACACUGAUGAGACGACGGAGGACCACAGCAAGGAAGCACACCACAGUGCUGAGGACCUCUUACCUAAUGAAGCUACUCAGAUCAACAUUGAGGAGGAGAAAUGGAAUCAAAACCAGCAGAGAACAUCAACACCUUCAGCAGACAGCAGGAAAGAAAAGAUACAAUGGCCACCAACAGAUGAUAGGAGAUGGGAGAUCUUUGAUGAAGACCUAGACAAGAUAUUGGAUAACACACUUACUGGAGACG
rnacentral:lncRNA from 1 species